GGACAUUAGCCCUUUUACAUGAAUUAACUUUUGGACAUUGGCCUUAAUUAAUUAUUAUGCUGCACAUGUUUUAACCUCAAAUUUUAGUGUAACGGUAUUCUUUUUGUGGUGUUGUUUAUGAACAAUAAAAAUGAAUAAAAGGACGCUUCAAAUUCUGAGAAACUGCGGACUCGCAUCUCAAAAUUGUAAGUUCACUUUUGCACAUAUUUAUGUUGCAUUGAGGAUUAAAGUUAUAUUUUUUAGCUGAUAAUGUUGAUAAGAAACAGAGAAGUGAGUCAACAUUACCUACAAGUUCAAUAGCUGAUAAUAACUGUUAUUGUUCACCUGAAACGUCAUUACAACCUUUAACUCCUAUUGUAUCCAAUGAGAUCCAACUGAUUGAGGAUAACGAUUCGAAUAAUUACGCAACUUUGCAGAACAUUACGAUUGAAACUAAUGCGACCAAUCUCGAACCAGGGGAAUUUAUUACUGACAACGAUGAUGAUUCAUAUGUAGAUCCUGAUUACUC